rnacentral:rRNA from 1 species
AAAUUGAAGAGUUUGAUCAUGGCUCAGAUUGAACGCUGGCGGCAGGCCUAACACAUGCAAGUCGAACGGUAACAGGAAGCAGCUUGCUGCUUCGCUGACGAGUGGCGGACGGGUGAGUAAUGUCUGGGAAACUGCCUGAUGGAGGGGGAUAACUACUGGAAACGGUGGCUAAUACCGCAUAACGUCGCAAGACCAAAGAGGGGGACCUUCGGGCCUCUUGCCAUCAGAUGUGCCCAGAUGGGAUUAGCUAGUUGGUGAGGUAACGGCUCACCA